AGUGAACGCUGGCGGUAGGCCUAACACAUGCAAGUCGAACGGCAGCACAGUAAGAGCUUGCUCUUACGGGUGGCGAGUGGCGGACGGGUGAGGAAUACAUCGGAACCUACUUUUUCGUGGGGGAUAACGUAGGGAAACUUACGCUAAUACCGCAUACGACCUACGGGUGAAAGCAGGGGAUCUUCGGACCUUGCGCGAUUGAAUGAGCCGAUGUCGGAUUAGCUAGUUGGCGGGGUAAAGGCCCACCAAGGCGACGAUCCGUAGCUGGUCUGAGAGGAUGAUCAGCCACACUGGAACUGAGACACGGUCCAGACUCCUACGGGAGGCAGCAGUGGGGAAUAUUGGACAAUGGGGGCAAGCCUGAUCCAGCCAUACCGCGUGGGUGAAGAAGGCCUUCGGGUUGUAAAGCCCUUUUGUUGGGAAAGAAAAGCAGCAGGUUAAUACCCCGCUGUUCUGACGGUACCCAAAGAAUAAGCACCGGCUAACUUCGUG
rnacentral:rRNA from 1 species